AUCUUGCUGCGCUGUCUGGAACUGUGGCAGCCAUCUUGCGACCAUGAGGGGAAAGUCAAGACCGAAGUUGAGAAGCCAACUGAGAAGUCACUUCCGUGGAGCUGCUGAAUCUGCCAACUCUGCAACCACUCAUUUCAGACAUCCUGUUAGACGAGAUAAAUUUUUUAUUAUUCAAGCUCUUUGCAUUGGUCUUUCUAUCUCAUGCCAACGGAGGUACCUGAUGCGGUAUGUGGUGGAGUUGCCUAAAGUCAUACCCUGGCCAGGGACAGUGGAAGGCUCCCAGUGGGGAGAUUUGAGACCCACACCCACGCCGCCAUCAGGAGGUUCUGCCCCUUCCUUCCAGAAGGUGCAAAUCCAGCCCCAGAACUUUCUAGACAAAACAGUUGUCAAGAGUGUUGAUGAAAUGGCCUGUCUGUUUAUCCAUCAAGAAAAAAAAGGGAGCGAGAGAGAUGAAGACACCACAGCUAAGGCGUGUGAUGGCGGGGGUGGCGUUGUGACCUCUGACCAGGAACGCGUGUGCGUCUCUCCCCGACCCCGGGCGGCCUCACCCUGAGCCCUUCCAUUUCUGUCCAUGACUUGGUUUCUGUCCAUGACAGGAGCUCCUGUGCAUUGUUCAGGCUCUCAGCAGGAAACAGAAGUCAUCUCAGCCAGGAACUGGCGGAGGAUUCAGUGAAGGGACUUCCCGGAGGUGUGGCCGCGGCUAAAGGAACGAACGAUGGAGGCACCGCGCACAGGCGACGGCAGGAGACUGAAGGCACCAGGGAAGAGGGCCUCCAAGGGUUGCAGUGUGGGAGAGGGCCGCCCGCUGUCCAGGGAUGCAGCCGAAACCUGGUGGAAAUGCCCUCCCCUCCCCUCCCACUCGCUGAUCUCCUGCCAGCGUCUCCCGUCACCUGAGGGCCACCUCUCAAGACCCUGCGGGAGCCUGGGGGAUGCAAUCCUCAGAGGUCGACCUCCUGGGGCGGGGAGGGGCAGAGCGUGGAUGAGGGCAGGCGUGGCGUGCGCCUUCAGGUCCGCUUGUCCCAGAACUGCGGAAGCCCCCCUGUUGGUGGGAGGCGCGGGUGGGGAGGAGAGGGGCACAGAGGCCUCAGCCGGGCAGGUCUGGUCGCGGAGGAUCCGGGUGCCGAGGCCCCGUGCCGGUGGCUGGCACUGGGCCGCCUUACGGGAAGAGGAGAGCCCAGGGGUGAGGGAGGGGGAGCCCGCUCCCCUGCAGGCCACCAGAGGGGCUCUCAGGAAGGGCCCCUGGAAAUCCAUGGCGAAUGAGGAAAAACGCAGACAUAUAGAUAACUUGAAAGACCCAGGCUUGCUGGAAGUGGUUUCUGAUCCCGGCUCGGCUGCUGGGCAGCCCGGCUCACAGCCUCUAUUUUUCAUCAGGGGCCAUUCGGUAGCGACACCUGAUUCCUUCGAGUUGCUUUGAAAGGGGGUCCUGCUCUGUCUUCCCUGUGGGGCCGCUUUGCCCCGUCCCCAGGAGCCGUCUUGUCCAGCCCGGCACGGGGGAGGUCUCCGGGGGCCGUGGCUCUGCAGAUGGCGGAGGUGGGGCCACGGGUUUGGACCUCAGAAAAAUGAUGCAUUUUGGGGCAAGUCAUUCUAUCUCUCUGAACCUCAGUUGCCUCGUCUGAGAAAUGGGGUAACAACAGAACCGCUUCGCAGUGGCGUCUGAGGACUCAGCGUGACCGUGCACGUGCCUGGCCCAGCACACGCGGCUCCUGCGGGGGAAUUGCUCCGGGCACACUAAGGGGCAUCUGAGCUGUUCUGUUCUGGGGGGCGCUGCCCGCGUCCACACCCUAGCUCCACCCACCUCUCUAAGCUGCGGCUUCUCAUCUGUAAAAUUCCCACAGGACUGUGCCGGCUCCGCUGGACGGGGAGACGUGCCCGACGUCACGCAGGGGUGCGAUCUGAUCUACGUGCGCCCAUCACUCCUUGGAUAGUCCUCCAAAACCACAGCUGAGGCGUUUUGGAGUAGAAACAGAGAAAUCGGGACAGAGCCAUGAUUUGGGAGCAGGUCCAUUCUUCAGAGUCUUCCAGAACCUUCUGAGCCACACUCUCAACCACCACGCUCUACCGACCAACACCUUCUUUCCCCACGCCAAAGCUGUCUUUGGUGACUACGCAACACCCCGUCCUACAAGAGGUCAAGGUUGCGUGUCCUUCCUCCUUGUCCCCCACACUCGGGACGAGGCGAGGCAGAAGGAGGUGGCGGAGGUGGACGCAGAGAGGGCAGAUGCGGGCCAGGGUCAAUGCAACAGUUAAGGGACAAAUCCGGGAUUGGAAUGAGGUUUGUCAGAUUCCCGAGUCUGCACCCCAACCAGCAUGUAAUAUCGCCUCCAGUCAUAUUUAAUUUAGCAUUUAGUUGUACAGACGUAUCUUAUAGUGGAAUACCUGGGCUCAUUAAUCUCUCCAGUUGUGUUUCUUCCAUCUUACACUAUAAUUAGGCUUCGUCUGUUGUGGUGAAGGAUUCCUGAGACCACGUAUACACUGUGCUUGGUGCCCAUGGUCUUCCGGGGAGCAGGGGGUCUCACAGGACGGGGAGCAAGGCCCAGGUCUCCCUCCCAUUUUCGGUGGUGACGCCAGCACAGUGCCUGACGCAGCAUUGGGACUUACAGAGUGGG
ensembl:lncRNA